rnacentral:tRNA from 1 species
UAUUCCGUAGUUCAAUGGUUAAAGCAUCCAGCCGGUGUAUGGAAGGUCAUGGGUUCAAAUCCUGUUGGGGGCUCAG